ACCCAGAAGGCGGAUGUUGCAGUGAGCCAAGAUCGUGCCACUGCACUCCAGCCUGGGUGACAGGGUGAGACGCUGGUCCCAAAAAAGAAAUACAAGAUCGAGUUUCAAGGUUUCAAAGAAUUUCUCAUGUAGAAAACAGUAGGAAGCAAACUAAAAUGCUAUCUCUGUAAGUUGAGAGAACAAAUGUUAUCAGAUGAACUUCAAAUUCCUAUAAAAGGGGAGUCAAAAAUGUUUUAAAAUUAUUUUAUUAUUGUUAUUUUUAGACACGGGUCUCUGUUGCCCAGGCUGUAGUGAGUGCAGUCGUGCAAUCAUAGCUCACUGCAGCCUCGAACUUCUGGGCUCAAGCGAUCCUCCCACCUCAAAAAACUUAAAAAUACUUGUUUACUAUUGGUUCAUAUUUGAAGACUUCGGUAGACUACAAAUGAGUUCAUAGUGCUUUCCAUUUGCCAUAGCUUAGUACCAGUAGUCUUAUUGUUCAUUCAAGAGCUUUUAUGGAUUGUGGAGGACACACUAUUAUUCUGAGAUGUUAAUAUCAAAGAAAAGCAUAAAACUAGCUUAAAUCAGAAUUAAUUUAAUGAAUGACUUAUCUAGGUUUCGAACCUGGCAUACUACCUUGGUUAUGGUAUUUAAGAAUUUGGGUUUCUUGGCUGGGAUCAUUGAGAAAUGAGGAAGAAUACAUUAGAAGAGGAAAGGGCAUUAAAAGGUAAAUUUUGGUAGUUGAAAAACAUGACCACUGGACAUAGAAAGAUUGUUAAGUGUCUUCAACAGUGUCUUCUAGAGACCAUCACUUUGGAAUUAGUUUGGUUAUAAAGUAUUUUUCCCUAUAAUCUUAUCUUGAUAAAAUUUUAUCCGUACAUAUUCACAACCCCUUACCUGCAAUUCCAAAAUCCAAAAAUCUGCAAAAACAAAUUUUUCAGAAUUCAUUUGGUGACAUAGCCUGAUCUGUAAUGAUGUGAGGCUAUUUUUAGUGUUUAUCCAACUCAAUUAUGAAUAUUUCACUACAGAAACAUUAAUGUCUGUUUCCUCUUACACCCUAGACUCUACAGGUAUUACAUGACGUAUAUACCAUGUUACUUUUUUAAAGUCCAAAAUUUUCCAAACUGAAGAGCAAUUGGCCCUAAGAUUCUGAAAAUGGCAUUUAAACUUUAAAAUAAUGAGUGAGACUAAUCUCAUGCAGAAAAAUAUAAUACUGACAAUGAAUGUGGAUAUUCAUGUAAAUUCAGUAUCUCAAAAACUCAUAAACAAAUGCUACUUUUUUUUUUUUGGCUUUUUAAAUUAUUGUGUAUUUGUGUAUAAUGCUGGUAGUCAAAUUUGUACAAAACAUUUUUCGAAUAUUCUUUUAAAAGAACUUCCUUUUCAUAAGUGAAAAGAAAAAAAAAAUCAGUGUAAGUUAAAGGGUUUCUAUAUUCCUUUAGUUCCCUGAAUAUCAAAGUAAGCAGGUUUCAUUACACAUAAUGUAUAAUUAUCCCAUUAAAUGAAAGGCAGCUUACCUCUUCUUCACCUAAAUUAUAUUCAUCCAAAGGCUGAAGAACAACCAUCCUCCAGCUGUUGAAGAUAAAAACCAAUUUUAAACAGCUUUUAUUUAUCUAAAUGUGGCAAUUUUAUACUCUAAGCACAGCUAAAUGUAUUAGUAUUUUCUUUCCUUGGCACUUCCAUGGUUCAAAUUGUUGUAUUUUAAUAAUUCAUUUUUUUAAAAGAAAAUAUUUGUAUUAUUGAGUAAAGGAUAAAAGAGAAAAUGAGACUUGCUUGCCUUUUGGCUUUAUGGUGAAUAGUCUGUUCUGUAUAGCUGCAUUUUAUACAUAAUAAUUAUGUACUGACUGAAGUUAGUGGUAUGUUGAUAAACCUGGCCUGGCCAAAAAGUAACAGAAGGAAAAAAAACCUGGUUUGUAUGUUUGCCAGUUUCUUUGGUGUGAAAACACCUACCAUAGCCCCUUUUGAGUCAUCAGUAGUUUAAUAACUGGCUCACAGAAGUCUUCUAUAUUUAACCAUCUACUCAGCCGGCUAGCUCCAGCCUACCAUUGCAAGUUGAAAUAUAUUUUUGCUAUAGAACAUCAUAGCCACAAAUGUUAUUCAUUACUUAUGCAACAAGUAUCCACAGAUUAUAGGAGUUCUCAUGGUAGAACUCUUAUAGAAUAUUAGAGUUCUUGAUACCUCAAGGUAAUUAUGAAUAAAAGAAAUUAUGAAAUUAGAAUAGAGAUGUAUAACAAUUAAUUGAAAUUGUCACUCACCUGUCUCUGUUUGCAACCUUUUCUGUCUCUACUUUCUGGUGUCAUAUUCUUUCUUUCAUAUUCUUUCAUAUACUUUCUGGUGUCAUUCUUAAGAAACUGCACUCAUCAUUUCUAAAAAGUUGGGCUAACUUUACUGCCAGUAGGGAGCAGAUCUGCAUAUGGCAUUCAGGGACCUCCACAAUCUGGACCUAACUUUGUUUCUAGCCUCCCAUUAUCAACCUGCACAAAACAGUAUCUGGCUAAACCUUACACACUUGUCCUGUGCCUUUGUUGUGGUAUCGCUAUGUAAAUACCCUCUCCACGUUCCCAUUCCUUCAUGGGUGACUUCCCAGACCUUCCCACUCAUCUUUUGAAUGUGUUUAUUGCUGACUUGGCAAUACAUCACAGUUUUUUUGUUUUUGUUUUUUUUUUUUUGGUCACAGGUAUUACUGUCUUACAGUGUGAAUACCCCAUGAAAAGGCAGAACUCUUUGCAACUUAUGUCACACCUGUAUCUUUAAGGGCAAGGAUUAUUUGUUGCUAUAGCUUUUAUGUCACUAAAGUGCCUUUUAGUGUCAUAUACAUAGUAGAUAACUAAAUGACAUUGAAUAAUAAAGACUAAGAAUGCUAAAGUAGUCUGGGAAUUCCCAAAUCUUAAUAAAAACUCAGAAAUAAACUGUGAUACUAUAUAACUUUUUCUAAAGGCAUGAGUAAUUUUUUUUUUCUCAUCGUUUCCCCUCCAUGGCUAUGAAAGAACUGGGAGAAGGAUCCUCCUUUAAUUAAAAUUCGAACUUCACUUUGAAAAUUUAAGUUUAUUAAGGAAGGAAGGAAGAAGGAAAAAUAUGAAGAUGUGAGUAUACGUACCUUGGAUUGGGCAGAAGAUUCUGACCUUACUUCGGGCUUACAUAUAGGUUUGGAGAUGUGGAAAGGAGUGGAAAAAGAAAUAUGUAAGCUGAAGUGCCAAACUCACACUAUUGAAAUAAAAGGGCAUGGCCUACCAGCUGACAAGGAGCGUCUGGUUUCAAGAUGGCAAAUGACCCUAAAUAUGAUAGACAAAUACUUUUUACAUAGGUAUAUGCACAGAUAUGCACAUAUAAAUCCAUAUUUGCAAGCAAAAAGUGGAACUUCUAAGGCAGAAUUUCUGAGGAAUCUCUGAAAGACUAAUACUAUAUGGAAUUUGAAGAGGAAACCCAGAGCAGAAGCACAGAGUGAAGUACUGCCACAAAGAGGUGCGAUGCCACCAAAGGUGGUCUAGACUCACAAGAAAGGAAAAUUGGAAGCAGGACAACUAUCUAGAUAUUGACUGCACAUGUCAAUAUCUCAGUCAGACGAACAAAAUCAGCUUUAGGCAGAUAAAUGAAUGGUUGGAGAGAUAAGGCAAUGCCAAAGUGCCCCGCUUUGAAAUGUCUGGCCCAUCCCCAAAUUAGUGUGAAAAUUUCAAAUGUAGUAUAAAUUCCCUUCCCAUCAGAAGUGUCCCAUAAACAGCAGUGGUAGAACAGUUUUAACUGAGUAUCAUAGCUUCAAUGAUGAGUAUAGAAAACUCCAAAAAUCUGAAUACCGACACUAAAUCAAAAAACAGGUACAAACCACAAGUGGAAGAACCAUCUCAAGAAAUAAUGGAGCAUUCAUGGAAUACAUAUUAGCAACUCAAUUUCAACAGUUAAUAUUGCCAACAGAAACAGGUAAGAGUCCCUCUGGAGAAGUGUCAGAAAUAGAAAAUGUAAUUGUUCAAAUGUUAAAAUCAUCACUAGGCUAAGUAACAAUCAAAAUCAAGCUGAAAAUCAAAAUCAAGGUCUGGAAGAGGAAUUCCAUAUCUUGAUGGAAUAGAGUGAUAGAAAAUAUGGAGGGAAAAAGACCAGAAUGGGGUAACAGAUGAGACUAGAGAGAAUGAAAAGGAGGGAAUAGUUGAAGAAAGGAUUAUUAAAGUGUUUUCCAGAAUCAAUAUUACACCCUAAGAUUUCAACGAUGCACCUGAAUGUCAAACAGCAAAUGAAAGUUAAAUCGUAAGUGCAUGCAUCACAGAUGAUGAUACCCUGAAAGUUAUUAAUACAAGAAAACAGCAUGGCAGGAGUAAUCUAAACUUACUAAAAUGGUAACUAGAAUUGUGAGAGGUGGAUUUUAAAAUGUAUAUGUUAAAAUGUAUGUAGGUAUUAAAAGUGUCCAUUCUUUUAAUAACAUUUUGCUGUAGCAUUUAAGCAAACUGUAGACAAUUAACGUUUCUCUUAUUUUCUACAAGCAGUUCUCCACUCUUCUGAAAACAUCAAACUUUGUGAGGGAAUCUUAACUUUCACAGAAGUUGAUUUUUAAAUUAAAUUGUAUUCAAAUGUUUUCUUCACAUUUAUCAUUUUCCUUCUAAUUCAUUAUUGUCUUGUAAGAUUUUCAUGGACCCUUGAAACAGUAGGAAAUGUAUGACAAUUCUACACAUCCUCUUCACCUGUUCUAUUGAUAAACCUCCCAGCCUUUCAGUUCUUGCUCUCCCAAUCCUCUCUUGGGGUUCAUCCUAAGAUCACACUUUGAUAGCAUUUCUCAUAUAUCGUGUCUUUACUUCCUUCCCUUUUAUUCAUCCAACAACUUUACAGAGAUCCAACUACAUGGCAAGCACUAUUCUAAACCCUAGGUAAGCAAAACUAGGAUUUGUAGCAGCCCUUGUAGUUUACAGGUGUUAUUUCAAGGAAUGCAAUCGUAACGUGAUAGAAAAAUAUGCAUUUCAGUUGUGAAACUACAUGAUGUUACUGAGAAUGUAUAAGAGUACUAGUAAGAGCUCUGGGAAAGGCUUCCCCAGAUGAAGUCAUAGAUUUUAAAUAUGAACAGAAAUAGCUGAUAGCUAGGGGAAGGAGGAGAAUAGCAUGUGCAGUGGCCCAAGGGAGCAGGACAAAUUUGGGAACUGAACAGCUAUGUAGUGUAGAGUAAGGAAGCAUGGUGAGAAAGAAUCAUGAGGGAGGGGCCAGUCUAUGUAGAUAGGGCUUUAAGGUGUUAAGAAUACUCCUUCUCGAAUGUUUUAACGGGAUGGUGUGGGGAGCAGGUGUGACAUUAGAUUUGCAUUUUGAAGAGAUCACUGCCUACAGUGAUUAAAGGGGAAACACGGAUUAAAAGUCUAUUUCAGAAGUAUAGAUAAGAGAUCAUGGUGGACUGUGAGAGCAGUCGAAGGCAAGAAAGGAAACAUCAUAUUGACAACUUGGCAAUUGGUUUAGACAGGAGGAAGUGUAGGCGACAAAAACUGAGCUUUAUGUUUCUGGCUGGCUUGUGUGGGUUAUGGUGCUAUUGUUCCUCCUCUUCCAUCUAUCUGAGACAUAAUUUCAGAAUUACAGAGAACUUGAAAUAGAACAAAUUUCUGUAUACCCUUUCCUGAAAUCCCCCAAAUGUUAACAUCGUAUCACAUUUGCUUUACCUCCUCCUUUCAGACCACAAAUGAAAUUUAGUUGCUGACAUGAUGCCCCUUUAGCCCUAAAAACAUCAAUGCAUUUCUGAAAACAAAGGACAUUUUCUUAUGUAGCCAUGCAGUUCAGUGCCAUUAGCUAAUCUAUAGACUUUAUUCAGAUUUCACCAAUAUCUCUCUAAUGUUACUUGCAGAUAAUUUCAACUAUUCAUUGCAGAUGGCAUUGCAGUUGUCAGAUCUCAUUAAGGUCUUAUUAUAUCUGAAACAGUUCCACUGUCUUCCAUAACUUUCAUAACUUUGAAUAUUUUGAUAAGUAUAAACUCUUAAAUUGGUUUUGUCUCGUACUCCUCAUGAUUAAACUAGUCAUCAUUCACUCUUCAUCCCACUACAGUUUGGCUUUUCUCUGCUUGUUGCCUGAAAUCAGCAAUUCCAUUGUAAACUGCCAAAUCUAAUGGACCAUACAGGAUAAAUCCAAGCAAAGAUCUGUCUACUGCCUUCACGCAAUUUGCUCUACCGGAAUGCCAAGUUAUUUAUAGAUAUUUGUUGUUUGUUUUGAGAUGAAGUCUUGCUCUGUUGCCCAGGCCGGAGUGCAAUGGUGCCAUCUCAGCUCACUGCACCUCCGUCUCCUGAGUUCAAGUGAUUCU